rnacentral:rRNA from 1 species
GACGAACGCUGGCGGCGCGCUUAACACAUGCAAGUCGAACGGAAAGGCCUGCUUUCCCUUGUGGAUUGCGGGUACUCGAGUGGCGAACGGGUGAGUAACACGUGAGUGAUCUGCCCCCAACUUGGGUAUAAGCCUGGGAAACUGGGUCUAAUUCCCGAUAGGACUGCAGGGUGGUUCCUGUGGUGGAAAACGAGUUUCUAGUGGUUGGGGAUGGGCUGGCGGCCUAUGAGCUUGUUGGUGGGGUAAUGGUCUACCAAGGCGGGGACGGGUAGCCGGAGCGAGAGGGGGGACGGCGACACUGGGACAGGGAUACGGCCCAGACGCCAGCGGGAAGCAGCAGAGGGGAGUAUUGGACAAUGGGCGGAAGCCUGACGCGGCGACGCCGCGAGGGGGAUGACGGGCUUCGGGUUGUAAACUCCUUGCGACCGCGAGGAAGCCACCUGGUUGGAAGGGUGGUGACGGUAGUGGUAGAAGAAGCACCGGCUAACUACGUG